rnacentral:rRNA from 1 species
CCCUUAGAUGUUCUGGGCCGCACGCGCGCUACACUGACGAAGUCAGCGAGCAUGUCCUACGCCGACAGGUGCGGGGAAUCUUGUCAAACUUCGUCGUGAUGGGGAUUGAUUAUUGAAAUUCUUGAUCAUCAACGAGGAAUUCCUAGUAAGCGCAAGUCAGCUGCUUGCGUUGAUUACGUCCCUGCCCUUUGUACACACCGCCCGUCGCUACUACCGAUUGAAUGGUUUAGUGAGAUCUUCGGAUUGGCGCCACUGCGGCUCAGCAAUGGGCUCGGUGGAUGCCGAAAAGUUGAUCAAACUUGAUCAUUUAGAGGAAGUAAAAGUCGUAACA